rnacentral:rRNA from 1 species
UGUUUCGGCUAGGGGGCCAUCCCGGCUUACCAACCCGAUGCAAACUGCGAAUACCGGAGAAUGUUAUCACGGGAGACACACGGCGGGUGCUAACGUCCGUCGUGAAGAGGGAAACAACCCAGACCGCCAGCUAAGGUCCCAAAGUCAUGGUUAAGUGGGAAACGAUGUGGGAAGGCCCAGACAGCCAGGAUGUUGGCUUAGAAGCAGCCAUCAUUUAAAGAAAGCGUAAUAGCUCACUGGUCGAGUCGGCCUGCGCGGAAGAUGUAACGGGGCUAAACCAUGCACCGAAGCUGCGGCAGCGACACUGUGUGUUGUUGGGUAGGGGAGCGUUCUGUAAGCCUGUGAAGGUGGCCUGUGAGGGUUGCUGGAGGUAUCAGAAGUGCGAAUGCUGACAUAAGUAACGAUAAAGCGGGUGAAAAGCCCGCUCGCCGGAAGACCAAGGGUUCCUGUCCAACGUUAAUCGGGGCAGGGUGAGUCGACCCCUAAGGCGAGGCCGAAAGGCGUAGUCGAUGGGAAACGGGUUAAUAUUCCCGUACUUGGUGUUACUGCGAAGGGGGGACGGAGAAGGCUAUGUUGGCCGGGCGACGGUUGUCCCGGUUUAAGCGUGUAGGUGUGUGUUCCAGGUAAAUCCGGUUCACUUUAACACUGAGGCGUGACGACGAGGCACUACGGUGCUGAAGCAACAAAUGCCCUGCUUCCAGGAAAAGCCUCUAAGCAUCAGGUAACAUCAAAUCGUACCCCAAACCGACACAGGUGGUCAGGUAGAGAAUACCAAGGCGCUUGAGAGAACUCGGGUGAAGGAACUAGGCAAAAUGGUGCCGUAACUUCGGGAGAAGGCACGCUGACACGUAGGUGAAGUGAUUUACUCAUGGAGCUGAAGUCAGUCGAAGAUACCAGCUGGCUGCAACUGUUUAUUAAAAACACAGCACUGUGCAAACACGAAAGUGGACGUAUACGGUGUGACGCCUGCCCGGUGCCGGAAGGUUAAUUGAUGGGGUCAGCGCAAGCGAAGCUCCUGAUCGAAGCCCCGGUAAACGGCGGCCGUAACUAUAACGGUCCUAAGGUAGCGAAAUUCCUUGUCGGGUAAGUUCCGACCUGCACGAAUGGCGUAAUGAUGGCCAGGCUGUCUCCACCCGAGACUCAGUGAAAUUGAACUCGCUGUGAAGAUGCAGUGUACCCGCGGCAAGACGGAAAGACCCCGUGAACCUUUACUAUAGCUUGACACUGAACAUUGAGCCUUGAUGUGUAG